UACGGGGGAGCAAGCGUUGUUCGGAUUUACUGGGCGUAAAGGGCGCGUAGGCGGCCUCCGCAAGUCGACUGUGAAAUCUCCGGGCUUAACCCGGAAAGGUCAGCCGAAACUGCGGGGCUAGAGUGCAGAAGGGGCAACUGGAAUUCUCGGUGUAGCGGUGAAAUGCGUAGAUAUCGAGAGGAACACCUGCGGCGAAGGCGGGUUGCUGGGCUGACACUGACGCUGAAGCGCGAAAGCUAGGGGAGCGAACGGG
rnacentral:rRNA from 1 species